AUUGAACGCUGGCGGCAGGCCUAACACAUGCAAGUCGAACGAGUGGCGGACGGGUGAGUAAUAUCUGGGAAUCUGCUCUCUCGUGGGGGAUAACGAAUGGAAACGUUCGCUAAUACCGCAUACACUUGAAUGUGCCCAUGUGGGAUUAGCUAGUUGGUGGGGUAAAGGCGCACCACGACGACGAUCCGUAGCUGGUCUUGUAGGAUGAUCAGCGAAACUGGAACGUAGACACGGUCCAGAUGCCUACGGGAGGAAGCAGUGGGGAAUAUUGGACAAUGGGCGCAAGCCUGAUGCAGCCAUGCCGCGUGUAUGAAGAAGGCCUUCGGGUUGUAAAGCACGUUUGGCGGGAAGGCGGUACCCAAAGAAUAAGCACCGGCUAACUUCGUGCCAGCAGCCGCGGUAAUAC
rnacentral:rRNA from 1 species